UAAGAUACUUACCAUCUAUUACCAAAUAUUACAAAAUAGGGAUACUUUUACACAAAGGAGUAGUAUCCAUUCUAAUCAUGUACAUAUGGAAACUGACUGAAAAUUGUAGGCCAGACAAUUGGGAAUGACAGCUGAAUCACAACAUUGCUGUUCUAAGAAUGAUGAUCAGGCAAGCUCAAGUCUUUUUAGAGCUCAAUAUGUACCAGAUAAAUUCUUUCAGAAAUUCUCUGAUGGGACUAAGGCUUAAUGAUCUUCGGCCUAUUUGAUCAUUAUUCUUACAAGAAGCACACUUCAAUAUAGAGUUAAAAAAUAAACUUCGCACUGCCUGGUUGACUGUAAAGUUUUGUUAUGAUUCUCCUGUCAUUCUGAUUAUCGAGCUAGCAGAAGUGAGAAGUAUAUUGAACAACAGGACUGCUCAUUAGUCACAACACUUGUAAUAAGAGAUGAGAUCACUGGACUAAUUCUUUUGAAAUCAGAUAGCGGAAUGCGAAGUUGUGAUGAAUCCACUCAA
rnacentral:misc_RNA from 1 species